UUUUGGGCUUUAUCGAAGACCAUAUACCCAUGUCAUUCUACAUUUAUGUGGUUCAAAACGAAGCCAAAAGCAAUUUUUGUUACGACGGUCACUGAAGUUCUUGAUUUUGUGAUACUUUGGUAACACUUACGUGCAAUUACAAAA